rnacentral:rRNA from 1 species
GACGGGACCCGCACAAGCGGUGGAUGAUGUGGUUUAAUUCGAUGCAACGCGAAAACCUUACCCACCUUUGACAUGGCAGGAAUCCCGAAGAGAUUGGAGUGCUCGAAAGAGAACCUGCACACAGGUGCUGCAUGGCUGUCGUCAGCUCGUGUCGUGAGAUGUUGGGUUAAGUCCCGCAACGAGCGCAACCCUUGCCAUUAGUUGCUACGAAAGGGCACUCUAAUGGGACUGCCGGUGACAAACCGGAGGAAGGUGGGGAUGACGUCAAGUCCUCAUGGCCCUUAUAGGUGGGGCUACACACGUCAUACAAUGGCCGGUACAGAGGGUAGCCAACCCGCGAGGGGGAGCCAAUCCCACAAAGCCGGUCGUAGUCCGGAUCGCAGUCUGCAACUCGACUGCGUGAAGUCGGAAUCGCUAGUAAUCGCGGAUCAGCAUGUCGCGGUGAAUACGUUCCCGGGUCUU